GGGUCGGUGGCGUAGUUGGUUAUCGCAUCUGUCUAACAUUGGGACACAGAAGGUCCUCAGUUCGAUCCUGGGCCGACUCA
rnacentral:tRNA from 1 species